CGGAGAGGGAGCCUGAGAAACGGCUACCACAUCUAAGGAAGGCAGCAGGCGCGAAAAUUACCCAAUACUAAUACAGUGAGGUAGUAACAAUAAAUAACACAGCCCAGCAUCUCAUGUUGGGCUUUUGGAAUGAGAACAAUUUAAAUCCAUUAUCGAGGAUCAAUUGGAGGGCAAGUCUGGUGCCAGCAGCCGCGGUAAUUCCAGCUCCAAUAGCGUAUAUUAAAGUUGCUGCAGUUAAAAAGCUCGUAGUUGGAUUUCUAGCGAGGCACGAGAAUAUCCACCUAUGGUGAAUACUUCUCUCGCCUUGCUCUUCUUUAGUUGAUGUCUCUGGCAUUAAGUUGUCGGAGUCCUGAGACUAAUCGUUUACUGUGAGAAAAUUAGAGUGUUCAAAGCAGGCUUAUGCCGUUGAAUAUAUUAGCAUGGAAUAAUAAGAUAGGACUUCGGUACUAUUUUGUUGGUUUGCGUACUGAUGUAAUGAUAAAUAGGGACUGGCGUGGGUAUUCGUAUUUUAAUGUCAGAGGUGAAAUUCUUAGAUUAUUGAAAGACGGACGACUGCGAAAGCAUCUACCAAGUAUGUUUUCAUUAAUCAAGAACGAAAGUAUGGGGAUCGAAGAUGA
rnacentral:rRNA from 1 species